CUGCGCAGCAGCGCUGUCUCCCGCUCCACCUUCUCCUGCUCCUGCUGCUGCUCGUAGCCUGCAGGGAGACGUGGCCGGGUCAGUGAUGGCGACCUCCCCGACUGGAUGAGCACAAUUGCUUCUCAUCCUCACAGCAACCCUAGGAGGGUUCAAGAAGGCUGUUCCCAAAGAAGAAACCUCAACUCAGCUUCCGAAAUUCUUCCCGGCUGAGGCCUGAGAAGGGAGAUAAGGAAGCCCAAACAGUGGGAAAGUGGGUGACUAAACAAAGACUCAGCAGGCAGGCGGGAGGAGAAGCAGACUUCUGACCUUGAGCCACCAGAGCAGAAGAAUCCUCAAGCCCCUCUGGUGGUGCUUCCUGGCUCCCAUGUGGGUAGGGGAGUAGCAGCUCCUCUGCAGGUGCCAGAGCCUCGUUCCCAGGGUCCCCCAUUUGUGCAAACGUCCCACCCGCUUCCCUCUGGCCUCUCAGCUUCCAUUCUGGUCCUUACAAGCUAUUCUCUGCAGGCAGCCAGAGAGAAGGCUUUCAGAGCAAAACCAAAUCCCAUCCUGGAAUGGCCUUAGAACCAAACUGUAGGUCCCUGCCCUGCCCGGCAGCCUCUCCUGAGCUCCGAAGAAAGGGGCUCUCCUGGACCCAGACAAGGAACAGUGGAGACGGUAGCUAAGGAGGCCCACCGGGUCCUUCCAGCCUCCGGUCACCAGCGACAACCGAUCACGGUAGAAAGCAAGCUGUCUACUUUU